rnacentral:lncRNA from 1 species
GCCAGAGCUCGGGACUGGUGCUGACCUGCAGGAUGGAGGAGAGAAGAGAAGACUCAUCAACAGAACAAAUGUUGCUGGAACAUUACUUAUAAUGGCAACAAUUGGAAACAAUCAAAGGAUGUCACUAUAGGGACUUGGGUUAAGAAAAUUAUGACACAUCAAAAGCACAGUGAAGAGAACUUCUGUCAAUCCUGUCAAGCACAUGAAGAUGUGAAGUUUCAACUGGAUUCAUUUCUAUAAAUAACCGAUACAAUUUCCAGAAAACCCUGAAGUCAGGAAAACCAAUGUUACUAAUGGCCUUAGGCUACGAGAAGAUCUGGUUAAGAGUAUCCUAAGGGAGGAUCUAAGCCUGUUCAUACUCUACAAGCAAAGAAACGAAGAAACACAAGAUUUAAGGUUGUUUGUCAACUGACAGCCCUUUCUAUCAACAACUAAAUAAAAAAAUCUGUAUUCCAGAAACAUGACACUUCAUGUACCACCCAUUUUCCUCACCCUGAAACCCCUUGAUUUUCUUAUUUUCACCAUUUGCUUCAACCAGCAGUUCACUGGAGACCCAUCCAUCUUGUAAUGCCUAAAGUGACAGAUGCUCUCAGAAACGACCACACUGCUGAGUGAACAAAAGAUAACAUCACCUCCAGGAACUCCAGAGAGAAAUACAACUGCAAGCUUAAGACAGGGGCUGACUUGACAGACAUUGGACCAUAAACCUCUUCUAAGCAAAAAAGAAAACAAUUGCCACACACACAAAAAAAAUCUGACACAAUCAAAGGCAGAAAAGAGUGAUUAUUUGUGGAUUGCCUUUUCACUCUGUAACUCACUUUUCCCCACCCAAUGCUUUUAUAUCGGGGCAAUUCACUCACCAAUAGGCAGGAGGAGUUCUUGUGUGUGUGGGGGGGGGGG